rnacentral:rRNA from 1 species
UUUGGGUCACCUCCCACCCGUGUUUAUUUUACCUUGUUGCUUCGGCGGGCCCGCCUUUACUGGCCGCCGGGGGGCUCACGCCCCCGGGCCCGCGCCCGCCGAAGACACCCCCGAACUCUGUCUGAAGAUUGAAGUCUGAGUGAAAAUAUAAAUUAUUUAAAACUUUCAACAACGGAUCUCUUGGUUCCGGCAUCGAUGAAGAACGCAGCGAAAUGCGAUACGUAAUGUGAAUUGCAAAUUCAGUGAAUCAUCGAGUCUUUGAACGCACAUUGCGCCCCCUGGUAUUCCGGGGGGCAUGCCUGUCCGAGCGUCAUUGCUGCCCUCAAGCCCGGCUUGUGUGUUGGGCCCCGUCCUCCGAUUCCGGGGGACGGGCCCGAAAGGCAGCGGCGGCACCGCGUCCGGUCCUCGAGCGUAUGGGGCUUUGUCACCCGCUCUGUAGGCCCGGCCGGCGCUUGCCGAUCAACCCAAAUUUUUAUCCAGGUUGACCUCGGAUCAGGUAGGGAUACCCGCUGAACUUAAGCAUAUCAAUAAGCGGGGGA